CAGAGCUUUCCAUGCGGGUGGCGAUCAGAAGAUGGAUGAGAAAGUUCAUCAAGCUUUCUAUGACCUCCAGAUUUACCAACACGAGAAGCACGGUCUGCGGGUGGAUGGCAUCCCCAUGUUCAUCCCCAGCGACCGCAGCAAGAAGAGGCUGAUCGAGGACACUCAGGAUUGGCAGCCCCGCACAGGCACUACCCAGUCCCACUCCUUCC